rnacentral:rRNA from 1 species
UACGGAGGGUGCAAGCGUUAUCCGGAUUCACUGGGUUAAAGGGUGCGUAGGAGGGCAGGUAAGUCAGUGGUGAAAUCUCCAAGCUUAACUUGGAACUGCCGUUGAUACUAUCUGUCUUGAAUAUUGUGGAGGUGAGCGGAAUAUGUCAUGUAGCGGUGAAAUGCUUAGAUAUGACAUAGAACACCAAUUGCGAAGGCAGCUCACUACUCAAUCAUUGACUCUGAGGCACGAAAGCGUGGGGAUCAAACAGG